GGGGACUCUCUCUGACCGUGAUCGUCGUCCACUACGUGCGGAUCUUCAAAGUUGUGAGGCAGCACCGGAAGAAAGUGUUCAACCGCGGGGUCCAGCUGAGGCCCACGGUGGCGGAGCAUGUGUGGGCCUGGUUGAGCGUCCCUCCUUCAGCACCUCGGACAGCUCCGCGGGGCUCCUGCAGGUCUCUGCCCCUCAGUCCGCUGCCUCUCCGCCGGACGAUGCUGCUGGUGGCCGAGGCGGGCGCUCCCUGUGCGGGCGUCGCCGCGGCAAGACCCCCGGAGAUCGUGGGGGCAGUUUGCCUCCUGACCCCCGGAGCCAAGGAGCGAGGCAAGAAACAGAUGGAGGGGAAGCUGGCCCAGCGCUUUGGGUACAUUAUCAUUGCCUUCACGCUUUUCUGGGCGCCCAUGGUGGUUAUUCUGCUCAUGAAUGUCAUCUCUUGGCCGGACAGAUUACUGAUGGAGCUGGAGACAUCAGCCGUGGUUCUGACCUGCGUACAGGCUGCAGUGGAUCCCCUCAUUUACACUUUUGUCACCAGGCAGUUUCGAACUGAACUCAGCAAGAUCCUCUCCUCCAUCCCAGGGUGUCCCCCAAAACCGAGAGGCUGAAGGUUCACUACUUGGGUGUGAACAUGCAUAUGACAAAAGACUGCAUUUUUGGAGCUGAAUCUACCCCUGAAGCUCGGUACGUGUACGAGCCACUAUCUUACGAGUGAUUACAAGGCGGGUGAAGAAGAGAGCCUCACAGAUUGUGUAUUUGUGGCAGAUAUAGAUGUUUUAUCAGGCGUUUCACAGUCGGGACACAAGACAAGGUCAUAAAUAAUAUCCAACACCUGACAAGAUACGCACAGCAGUAGUCUCAACAACGACAGGUGGCAUAGGAGGGCAAAGCAAAGAGUGAGAGGAAAAAACUGACUGAGCCCAGAAAAAAGACAAUCAAAGGAGAGUACAUAACAGAGAAAGAGAGAGACAAACACAACCACAGACCUGUUUUUGCUGUUUGUAAAUAAAAAUGCCAUCCUUUGACACUUUGAGCGGAAUAUAUGCUUACAUAAUAUUUCAAACCGUGUCAUUUUAAAGUGCAGCUUGACACAAAACAACCUGUUUUCAAAACAGGGAAGCAGGAAAUUAACCACGUUUAAUCAAUGUCCUCAGCAACAAAAUACAGGGAGCCUCACCUCUGCCAUUACCUAUGUCAUGCUCCUCUUGUAGACUUCAAUAGAUUCUAAAUGUCGGACUUUAUGCUGUAAAUAUGAAGUCAGUGUCUUUAGCCCCACUUGUAAAAACACAUUUAAAAAGCUCAGUCUGUCUGUGCUUGUUUUCUUUUCUUUUUUUUUUUUUUUUAACUCCAUGUAAAUUUGAACACAGUUUGACUAAACACUAAUACUGGAUCUAGGCAGUUGUUGUCACUGUGUACAGUACUAAAUUACCAGCAAUAGUACUAGAUCACUACUAGAAUACCAGAGGUCAAACACAUCUUGUUCCAACUCUGUAGAAUAGUUUGGGCUUCCUUUGGGUUGUGACUAACCUCAGGAUCAGAGAGAACUAAACCACGAGUCCAACAGACCCUAAGAUGUAGUGAUG
ensembl:lncRNA